rnacentral:misc_RNA from 1 species
UUCUUUUGGUACAGCAAAGCCCUGCAAAACCAGAAGAACUUGGGAGGAAUGUUACAUAAUUUACAUACAAAGCAAUAAUAAGAUGAGCUCAAGGCACAUACAUGGAUGGAAUUAAAAACACAAAUUUUAUUCGAAAUGGUGUAUUCCGUGUAGGUCAUUUGAAAUUCAAUAUCCCAAGUUCAAAAAACUACUUCAUAAUUCACAUUCAUUUGUCAUACAACCACUCUACACCAUAAAUAAAUUACGUCCACAUGCUUGAUUCAUUUAUCAGCGAAAUUUAAAAAAAAAAAAGAGCAGAAAAAUUUAGAUUCAAUUAGUCCAAAAUAGGAC